UACGUAGGUGGCGAGCGUUGUCCGGAUUUACUGGGCGUAAAGAGCGCGCAGGCGGUCGAUCAAGUCGAGUGUGAAAGCCCCCGGCUCAACUGGGGAGGGUCAUUCGAUACUGAUCGACUCGAAGGCAGGAGAGGGUAGUGGAAUUCCCGGUGUAGUGGUGAAAUUCGUAGAUAUUCGGAAGAACACCAGUGGCGAAGGCGGCUCACUGGACCGGCAUUGACGCUGAGGUGCGAAAGCGUGGGGAGCAAACAGG
rnacentral:rRNA from 1 species